rnacentral:rRNA from 1 species
UUGACCUCAAAUCAGGUAGGACUACCCGCUGAACUUAAGCAUAUCAAUAAGCGGAGGAAAAGAAACUAACAAGGAUUCCCCUAGUAACUGCGAGUGAAGCGGGAAAAGCUCAAAUUUAAAAUCUGGCGGUCUUUGGCUGUCCGAGUUGUAAUUUAGAGAAGUGUUAUCCGCGCUGGACCGUGUACAAGUCUCCUGGAACGGAGCGUCAUAGAGGGUGAGAAUCCCGUCUUUGACACGGACCACCAGUGCUUUGUGAUGCGCUCUCGAAGAGUCGAGUUGUUUGGGAAUGCAGCUCAAAAUGGGUGGUAAAUUCCAUCUAAAGCUAAAUAUUGGCGAGAGACCGAUAGCGAACAAGUACCGUGAGGGAAAGAUGAAAAGAACUUUGGAAAGAGAGUUAAACAGUACGUGAAAUUGUUGAAAGGGAAACGCUUGAAGUCAGUCGCGUUGUCCGGGGAUCAACCUUGCAUUCGUGCUUGGCGUACUUCCCGGUCGACGGGUCAGCAUCAAUUUUGACCGCUGGAUAAAGGUCAGGGGAAUGUGGCAUCCUCGGAUGUGUUAUAGCCUCUGGCUGCAUACAGCNGUUGGGAUUGAGGAACUCAGCA